rnacentral:rRNA from 1 species
UUGAUGAACGCUAGCUACAGGCUUAACACAUGCAAGUCGAGGGGCAGCAUGGUCUUAGCUUGCUAAGGCCGAUGGCGACCGGCGCACGGGUGAGUAACACGUAUCCAACCUGCCGUCUACUCUUGGACAGCCUUCUGAAAGGAAGAUUAAUACAAGAUGGCAUCAUGAGUCCGCAUGUUCACAUGAUUAAAGGUAUUCCGGUAGACGAUGGGGAUGCGUUCCAUUAGAUAGUAGGCGGGGUAACGGCCCACCUAGUCUUCGAUGGAUAGGGGUUCUGAGAGGAAGGUCCCCCACAUUGGAACUGAGACACGGUCCAAACUCCUACGGGAGGCAGCAGUGAGGAAUAUUGGUCAAUGGGCGAGAGCCUGAACCAGCCAAGUAGCGUGAAGGAUGACUGCCCUAUGGGUUGUAAACUUCUUUUAUAAAGGAAUAAAGUCGGGUAUGGAUACCCGUUUGCAUGUACUUUAUGAAUAAGGAUCGGCUAACUCCGUGCCAGCAGCCGCGGUAAUACGGAGGAUCCGAGCGUUAUCCGGAUUUAUUGGGUUUAAAGGGAGCGUAGAUGGAUGUUUAAGUCAGUUGUGAAAGUUUGCGGCUCAACCGUAAAAUUGCAGUUGAUACUGGAUAUCUUGAGUGCAGUUGAGGCAGGCGGAAUUCGUGGUGUAGCGGUGAAAUGCUUAGAUAUCACGAAGAACUCCGAUUUCGAAGGCAGCCUGCUAAGCUGCAACUGACAUUGAGGCUCGAAAGUGUGGGUAUCAAACAGGAUUAGAUACCCUGGUAGUCCACACGGUAAACGAUGAAUACUCGCUGUUUGCGAUAUACUGCAAGCGGCCAAGCGAAAGCGUUAAGUAUUCCACCUGGGGAGUACGCCGGCAACGGUGAAACUCAAAGGAAUUGACGGGGGCCCGCACAAGCGGAGGAACAUGUGGUUUAAUUCGAUGAUACGCGAGGAACCUUACCCGGGCUUAAAUUGCAGAUGAAUUACGGUGAAAGCCGUAAGCCGCAAGGCAUCUGUGAAGGUGCUGCAUGGUUGUCGUCAGCUCGUGCCGUGAGGUGUCGGCUUAAGUGCCAUAACGAGCGCAACCCUUGUUGUCAGUUACUAACAGGUUCCGCUGAGGACUCUGACAAGACUGCCAUCGUAAGAUGUGAGGAAGGUGGGGAUGACGUCAAAUCAGCACGGCCCUUACGUCCGGGGCUACACACGUGUUACAAUGGGGGGUACAGAGGGCCGCUACCACGCGAGUGGAUGCCAAUCCCCAAAACCUCUCUCAGUUCGGACUGGAGUCUGCAACCCGGCUCCACGAAGCUGGAUUCGCUAGUAAUCGCGCAUCAGCCACGGCGCGGUGAAUACGUUCCCGGGCCUUGUACACACCGCCCGUCAAGCCAUGGGAGCCGGGGGUACCUGAAGUGCGUAACCGCGAGGAGCGCCCUAGGGUAA